rnacentral:rRNA from 1 species
AUACGGAGGAUCCGAGCGUUAUCCGGAUUUAUUGGGUUUAAAGGGUGCGCAGGCGGGAGAUUAAGUCGGCGGUGAAAUUUUGCAGCUCAACUGUAAAAGUGCCUUCCAAACUGGUUUUCUUGAGUGUAGAUGAAGUAGGCGGAAUUUGUGGUGUAGCGGUGAAAUGCAUAGAUAUCACGAAGAACUCCGAUUGAGCAGGCAGCUUACUAAACUACUACUGACGCUCAGGCACUAAGGCGUGGGGAUCAAACAGGAUUAGAUACCCGGGUAGUCAACGCAGUAAACGAUGAUUACUAGCUGUUUGCGAUACAAUGUAAGCGGCUGAGCGAAAGCGUUAAGUAAUCCACCUGGGGAGUACGUUCGCAAGAAUGAAACUCAAAUGAAUUGACGGGG